CUCGACGAGUGAACUAGCUAACUGAAAUCAAUCUCUAUUUUACAGAUUGAUAACGUAGGGGAAAAUAAUGAUAUUACCUUACUAUUAGUGUCGCCCAAAACUGGUGCCAGAAGACUCGGUAAGGCCAGAGACGCAAACGUUAGUCGUCCUAAUCAGGCGUAAAGGGUUUGUAGGCUGCUUUCAAAUUUACCUUUUUUAUAUAGCUCCAUAGAAUAAAUUCUACAGAGUAUUAAAGAGAAAAACUAAAAGCUAGAAUCAAAUAGAGGAUAUAUUAAAUAAUACUUAGAGUAGGUCUGAUAUCCUUAAAUACUAAGUGGAAUAUUAACAGCGAAAGCUUUUUUUCCAAUAAUGAUUGACNCUGAGAAACGNAGGUGAGGAAAGGAAAUAGGAUUAGAUACCCAAAAUACCCCUCUCUGUCAACGAUGAAUGGUGGUUACUAGUAAAUAACACUAUUAGUGGCGAUGUUAACACGAUAACCAUUCCGCCUUGUGAGUACGACUGCAAAGUUGAAAACCAAAAAAUUAGUCGGUCUCGAAGCNNCGAAGUGAAGCUG
rnacentral:rRNA from 1 species